UUCAAAUGAUAUGAUGAUAAAUAGAAGAAAUAUUAAUUUUCAAAUAUUUACAAUUAAUAGAGAUAAUGAUUGAUAUGACGCAAUCUUUUUUUAGUAAAAAACCCCUUUUUGCUGUUUCAAUUAUGUACUUAUUCAUAAUACCUUCUUCUUGAUAUCAAGAAUUUAGAAUUACGCGAAGCAAACAGAAAAAUGUCUGGAUUCAAAUCAAUUGGACUAUUGUUGAUGAUGAUUGCAAUAAUCGUAAUGAUGGUAGCUCCAUCUGCGAUAACAGCUUGCCGUAUUACUGGUAAAAGUUGCAAAGUUAUUGGUAGUAAGGAAAAAUGUUGUUCUGGAUAUUGUCAUGCAAAAGGAGGCAAAGCAACUGGAAUAUGCAAAUGACGUUAAUUAUAUUUUUUCUAAUAAAUUUUCAACAAAUGAUUAUAAUAAUAAUUAAUUUAGAAGAUUUGGUAACGAUUGUCACUCCUAUAGAUAUUAAAAACGUUUAAAAUAUUUAUCUUUAAUAUUAUGUAUUUUUCUAGGCAAUAAAAAAUUCCACUAAAAAUUGUAAAAUAAAUUCUAA